GUAAUUAUCUUUUGUGUGUUCACAUUUCUUUGUGAUUAGGAUUGCGUAUCUUUACGUCUCGCAACCUCCUCCUUCCUUUGCUGUUGUGCUUUCGUAGUUGGGUGCCCCAGAGUAUCUUAUUGUUCCUGAGGCGGUUGAUAGUCAGUUAUACUUGGUGAGACUUUAACAAACAAAACGAUAUCACGUCUUAUAUAGAUUUUUUACCUGGUUCAAUUCCGGCAAACGGGCUGCACGCUCUCGUGAUCGCAACGAAUCACAAACAUAAACCCCUUCUCACCUCGAUCAACAUCGGGUAACCCAACACUUUCAGAGACGUAUGACUGGUUUGAAUCUUCGCCAAAAACAUAACCAAUGUCCCAUGACGACAUCGUGAUACGAAUGGUUUGAACAAACUGUUUUUUUAUUUGUGAAGUUUUCAUCAUUUGAAUCAAAUGAUUCCCAUAUGAUUGGAUUAAUAACAUUGUUCUCGAACUAUAAAUAAGGUAUAGGGCAAUGAGCGUCGUACAGGGGCACCUUUUCAGACUUUCCAGUCCGAACUCGCUGCAAUGUCAGUGAUUAUACCUCAAAUUUCUCACACAUUGUACCUAUACGUCGCUCAUAGGACAAUUAAAGGCGUAUAAAUCAGUUUUUCUGACGCAUUUAAUGCACUGAACCCCUAUACGUCGCUCAUUGCUCUAUACGCAGCUUAUUUGAUUUGGUCUAUUCUAAAAAGUCGAGGUAUUUCGAAUUGUUUGUUCUGCACCUAAUUUUUGGGAUGUACAAAUACCCUCACCCUUAUGUAUUUGUUAGUAGCAUAAGUGUUAGUUUGUUAAAUUGUAAACUUGUAAAACGUUUUGGGUUAUGAACUGGUGUGACGUUCUGAAGCAAUGCAUCGAUUCAUACGUGUAUGUCCAUCUAACAUUUGAUGGUGUGAUCCAUAAAUACAAUUCAGUAUUAGAUUUCUUUCUCGGUUCUUCCUUGUUCUUUAUUUGAUUCUUGGGUUGGUGCAUUGAAUCAAUCAUCCCUGGGAUUUUACAGAGUAAAUGAUAUCAUUAUUCUUAAGGAUCGAGUUAGUUCAGGAAUAAAUUGAUAGUUAAUGUUUUAAUAUGUUUUUGUUUUGAUAUAUUUUUUUGUAAUGCUUAUAUAAGGAACAACAUUCUGAUUAAUAAGAUAGCAAGAUUUGUGGCUCAUCUCACAGAACCUCUAUAAUUUCAACAGAUAUAUUUCAUGUGUGCCAACAUUAUUCGUGUAUGUUUACCGAGGAUCUACAUCCGUAAUAGCCGUAGCGUCAGUAUGCCAAACAGUGCAUACACUGUUAUCUGAUUCCAGCAAAUCUGAUGUAUAUUUUACUCUUUUCCGGGACACAAAAGGAGGAUUUUGAGGGACUGAUAAUGCAAUCGAGUAACUAUUGAGCAUGAGGACUACGGAAGCCAUUGAAGGUCUUAAUUCGUCAUCUUCUUGAACACACAAUAAGGCUAUAUUGAUACAACGCAAUGCUUCAUUUUCUAAGCUAGAGUCAACCAUAUUUGAGUCUAGGAUCUCCAUUGCUUCUGCAUUCUUCCAUUUACUCCAGGCCUGGAAGAAGGUCCGUGUAACCAGAUUCAAAGAUGCGAGUGUUUCUCUUUCCACUAAUUAUCUCAAGAACCAAUACGCCAAAACUGAAUACAUCUGAUUUCACAGAGAAGUGGCCAUGCAUCGCAUACUCUGGUGACAUGUAUCCACUUAUAAAAGCAGAAUAGAGUGU
rnacentral:lncRNA from 1 species